ensembl:lncRNA
CCAGGUUUAAGCACACUUUUAAGGACAUGGAAGGUCUUUGGAUUUUGCUCUUAAGGAAAUUUUCUUAAACUCUCUGGCCCUCAGAUUUUUCUCCUGCAAAAUGGGAUUAUUGUGAGGAUGGUGGGAUGAUGUCUAUGAAACCAUGUAGUCCAGUCCCCAGCAUAAAAUGAGCAGACAGAGAGCAGCCCAGCCCCAGCCCCAGCCCCAGCUCCAGCUCCAGCUGCAGCCCCAGCUGUAGGCAAAUAAGAAAGAACUCUUACUGGGGAAAGCAUGACAGAUGAUCCACAGAAAGCCAAGAGAUAGAAGCCACUCUGAUCCAAGAGCAAGAGGUCCAUAGACCCCAGGCUAUUAAACAAGGUCAAGUGGAAAUCCUAGAUGUCAUCACACUAUUACUCAGCUGCACACUGAAGAUGAUGUCUACAACAUCCUGGCCCAGUCAGAAUAGCUGAGCCACCCGGCCUUUCCUCUAUACCAAGAUGGCACAGCACGAAGGAGCCCCUGUCCUCGCCAGCUGAUGUGGUGCAGCAGGAGCCAGCCUUUCAGUUCCUGGUCUGUGCAUCUCCCAGAUUUCCACUGGGGUCCCCGCUCAGAUUCCAUCCCACCAGGGAGGCUGAUCACACUGUUUGAAAGAGCAGUCCUUUCCCUCAACCUUUCCCUUUAGCACCUAUGCAGCAUGGGUUCAAAGUAUUUGUCUCUGUGUUGGUUUUAUUAAAAAAAUUCCCCUUUUUCUUCCACUAGGAUGUGAGCUCCAUUAGGGCAGAUAUCUGCUGUGUCAUCAGUCCAAAUAGUCUAUAAGUGCUUUAAAUGCUAUUAUUUUACCAGCAAAUGGAUGGAUCCUGGCAUCAUGCCCCCUGAGGGGUUUUCCAGGUUCCCUGAGCCAUGUUGCUUCACCAAGAUGUCCUGUCCAUCUCCAUCCUUAAAUCCAGCUCCCAGCGCUGAUCUGUUGGUAAUUACUAUGACUGCCAGAACUCAGAAUGGGUACAGUUUUGAGGCCAUUAUAAGGAUUCCUUCAGAAAAGUUACGGCAUUGAUUAGUGAUGUCUGCCAUGGGACCACAAGGGAGGUAGAUGAGCUGUACUGGAAGGAGGAGAAAUUAGUCUCCUGCUCCAGGCUGGGGCCAAGAACUGCUUUUGGGUCUGAUCUUUGUAUCUCUUGGAGAGGAAAUAAGGGCUUUGGGGGUAGAGUGGACCAACCCCUCUCCCUUCCUUUAAGGAAGAGUGGGUGCCUUCCUGAGGCUGAGUCUCUUCCAUUUCAGAAUUCACCAAACCUUCUGUGAAAGGAAAUCCAGCCUCUGGCUGCUCCAGUGGAAUCUGCCAGCUCUGCAGCUCUAUGAUAGACUGGCCCCUUCCUGGUCCUUCCUUGACUGAUGAGACUAAUCAGGUGACCACGUGGCAUAGGGAAGGCCAGUCCUGCUGUGCCCUCUCACCAGCCCCAAAAUGCUGACAGGUAGUGGGCUUCCACACAGAAGCUGGGUCACCUGAAAGGAUUCUGAGGUCUAGGGAAAGACUGCUGGGGUCAGGGAGCAGUGGAUAUGAGCAGGGGCCUAGAAGGAAGGUGGCCUUGGAUCACAUCAGCUCCUCCCUCUCCUGAGACCUCGUUGUUUAUAGAAUCAAUUGUAUUCUGAGUAGACCUCUGUGGGAAGAUGGCUAGUUUCUCCUCCUUCCAGUACACAGAAUUCCAGGGAACAAGAAAAAGUAGAGUUGGGUAAAUUUACUCUGCAGACAAGAGUGACCGUGGGCACCUUCAACUUCAGCUGAUUGACAGCUGCAGCCCUCUCUCCUGGCUGUACCCCUACCUCUUUCCUGGUCCUGCCCAAACCACCUCCUUUGAAUUUCCCCACCUGUGCCCCAGGAGCUUCUGGGUAAAUUAAAGGUGGGGCCCAGUUUAGGAAGGGGCGCUGGAGGCUCACAGAGGUCAGGCCCAUCUCUAGAGGGAAUAGCUUGAGGGGCCUCUAGUGCUGUGGUUGGAUAAGGCUAUGCUCUAAGUUUUGGUGGGGUCCUGAUGUAGCCCCCAAGAAUUUAGAUAUGAAGCAAGGUGGUGGUCAUCCAUGCUGAUGCGAUGUCUUUCUUCUGCCUUGGAAGGCUGGUCCCUAGCUUUAAUAUUCUGUUAGGCAGGCCUCUGAAGCCCACGAAGGGGAAAGGCCCAUCUGAGACCCUGAAACUAGAGGAGGAAGGGUUAGAAUUCCCCUCAUUACGGCCAAAUUCCCAGACCCCCGGAGUGAUAGGCAGGAGUGGGACUCUGCCUUCUGUUUUGCCUUGGGGAGCCCAGCAGAGGGCUGCUAGACCCUGGUUUGAGGCACAAUGGGGCCAGGCAGGGUGAGGACAGUGGGCAGGAGGGUGCCCCGAGGGGAUGGGAAGUGUUGCAGCUCCUUGGGCACAAACCUGGGUGAGACGUGGUCGGCCAGGAAGCAGAGUGUGCGCUGGCGCCCCACACAGUAGAUGCGGGUGUCCACCACGGCACACUGGAAGGCGUCCGGGUAGGGCAUCCGGAACGUGGCACACUCGUACCAGAGCCGUGUGCUGGCACUGCAGCGGUACACGCUGAUGCCCAGGCUGCGGUUUAGGUCAAAGCGGUAGAGGAAGCCGUUGACAGCCACCAUCUCAGCCGUGCGGUCCUUGCUACCACCCGUGGGGCUGGGCCACCAGCGGUGAUCCUGGGCUGAGAAUCGGAGCAGCAGGUAGCGCAGCGUGCCACCUGUGACGAAGAUCUCACCAGCACACACCGUGGCUGUGUGUGCCAGGGCAAACGCGUCACUGGGGAGUGGAGGGGCAAAGGCCCAGCGGUCCAGACGAGGGUCGUAACGCUCCACUGUGUUCAGACACUCGCCCCCGAUAGCAUACAGGUGGCCAUCCAGAGCCACCAGCCGGCAGUGAGGCCGGGCCUGGUUCAGCGAACUCACUCCCGCUCCAGAUCCCUGUCAGUGGGUUAUAGCAGAAGACACGGUUGGAAGGCUGAUACCCAGACCCCUGGCAGCCAGACACCACAAAGAGAUAAUUGAAGAGG